GUCGAGAUAGAGGAUGCAGAAAAGCAACUGACACUCAGCAUCAGUUCAACGGAAGAAGGAAUCUACCACACCAGAUAGGACCCAAGGUGCAGAAGAAGCCUCCAAGAAAAUCCAGCACACAGUAGCCAUGUUCAAGGUAUUGGCAGGGACAGCAUACACUGAGAGGCACAACCAGGUUGCUGGAAUUGUGCAUCGUAACCAGGGUUGGUGCAAGGAUUUUCAGGUACGCAGGCAAAGAUGAUUUUGGCACCCCCCUCCCCUCCUAAAAGCAUC